ensembl:lncRNA
CCUAAGGAUGCUUAGACGAGACAUCUCCAGAUAGCCUUGUGAUAUGGGGGCGUCGUGAUCUGUUCUCAGAGAUGAGAGAUGCGAAAUGGGGCAUGGCGGCCAGGAGGAGCAACCGAAGGAGCGGUGGCUGAGCAGGCACAGGAGGGCCUAGAGGAGCUAUCCCAUGCUGAAGGUCAGGAACGGUGGCGGUAAGGAGAUACCCCUCGUCCAAGGUAAGGAGCAGUGGCUGUGCUUUGCUGGAGCAGCCGUGAAGAGAUACCCCACGCCCAAGCAACUCUGAGAACUACACUUGAGACUGUGAUUCCGCUGUCAGCAGUGACAUUCACUUCUCAUUUUCUCUUCUGAUGAAUGACGGGAGCCAGCGUCAGCCGACAAUGAGAAGAAUCACUAAAUACAGUCAACAUGGAAUUCAGUUAAUGAAGAGGGCAAUCGCUUCUGUUCUGUAUAUGAUCAUAAUAUCUUCUGGCUAUAGGUUACCUGUAAUAAGAAAUAGUAGAAAGAGAAGAAACGGAAGAAGGGUGGGAGAAAAGAAAGUGAGGAGAGGAGGAGAGAAAAGCAGAGAGGAUACGACAGGGGAAGAUAAGUUUCUGUCAGUCUCUGUGAAGAGUAGAGUACCUCUGCUGACCUGUGAUGGAAAAGUAGCAGGUAUACAGGAGGCGGUCCUAAGAUGGUGGAGGAAUAGGAUGGGAAGACCACUUUCUCCCUCACAAAUUCCUCAAAAGAACAUUUCAACGCUGAGCAAACUCCACAAAACAACUUCUGAAUGCUGGCAGAGGACAUCAGGCAACCAGAAAAGCAGACCAUUGUCUUCAAAAACAGGAAUUCUCAACUCAUCCUCUAGUUCACAUAAAAUUCUGAAGAUGAAUACAGAUAUGGUUAAAAAUAGAUAUUGUAUUCCAGAUGUACACUCAAUGAAC